UAAAGCUUAUGGAUUUAUUAAAGUAACGGCCUCUAAGUUUAUAAACCUAAAGGAUUAAACGAUGAGAAAAUCUUGUCUACAAAGUAACAACCUUUUAUAAGAAAAAAGAUAAUAUCUAUUUCUUAAGUGAAUAAGGUUCUGGAAAAACAGUAAAAACCUUAAAUAAUUAUUAUCUUAAAAAUAAUAGUUAUAAAGGCGACAUAAUAACCGUACCUAGAGUCUACCACAAGUAAGCAAGUAGAGUAUACGAAGGCGUUUGAGUGAACAAUCAUUAAGGAACUCGGCAAACUAACUACCGUAACUUAGGGAUAAGGAGAGCCAUUCCUCCUGAUUAAUAUCAGGUAAAGAAUAGGAAGCAUGGAAUAGUGUUGUACGACUGUUUAAUUAAAACAAAGCACUCUGCAGUAAGAUAAUAAAUCAAAGUAUUGAGUGUGAUUUCUGCCCGAUGUCGGCUGGUUAACGGAAUAGUUAAGUUGACUAAUAUAAGCUUGACUGUGAAGGAAACCCCGAUCAAUGGCGGCCUUAUUUUGAGGGUCCUAAGGUAGCG
rnacentral:ncRNA from 1 species